rnacentral:rRNA from 1 species
UCUUCGGAUCGUAAAACUCUGUUAUUAGGGAAGAACAAACGUGUAAGUAACUGUGCACGUCUUGACGGUACCUAAUCAGAAAGCCACGGCUAACUACGUGCCAGCAGCCGCGGUAAUACGUAGGUGGCAAGCGUUAUCCGGAAUUAUUGGGCGUAAAGCGCGCGUAGGCGGUUUUUUAAGUCUGAUGUGAAAGCCCACGGCUCAACCGUGGAGGGUCAUUGGAAACUGGAAAACUUGAGUGCAGAAGAGGAAAGUGGAAUUCCAUGUGUAGCGGUGAUAUGCGCAGAGAUAUGGAGGAACACCAGUGGCGAAGGCGACUUUCUGGUCUGUAACUGACGCUGAUGUGCGAAAGCGUGGGGAUCAAACAGGAUUAGAUACCCUGGUAGUCCACGCCGUAAACGAUGAGUGCUAAGUGUUAGGGGGUUC